AUCACUCCGGGGCCUCUUGCGUUUCAGGGGCGUACAGCAGCGAAGUACAGCAACGAGGUCUGGAUCAGCCGGU
rnacentral:tRNA from 1 species